UGCCUCCACUUCUCAUUCAGAGAAUUCAGUGCAUACAAAAUCAGCUUCUGUUGUAUCAUCAGAUUCCAUUUCAACUUCUGCCGACAACUUUUCUCCUGAUUUGAGGCCCAUGCAGUCCAGUUCGGGAGCUAAGUCACUUAAACACUGUGUGAUAGUUCCUACACAUCUCAUUAUAGUUUGUCCUGAGGGAGUCUAACAAGUUAGCAGAAAUGGAAGAACCACCCUUGCUUCCAGGAGAAAAUAUUAAAGACAUGGGUCCGUAAUGGUAUUUUUUGCUUAAUGUCCUUCUCCGUUCUACUGUGCAGAAUGUUCAGUACUCUCAGCAUACAGAGAAUAAACUGGCUGUCAGAGACACCUCCUGUCUGGCAGAACUCUUUACCUGCAGUCUUCUCAGCAUCUUAGUGUGUUCUACAAACCCAAAGAUGUAACUUAUAUAUGUCCAUUCACUGGCGCUGUACGAGGAACUCUGACUGUCACGAAUUAUAGGUUAUAUUUCAAAAGCAUGGAACGGGAUCCCCCAUUUGUU
rnacentral:lncRNA from 10 species